UACGUAGGUGGCAAGCGUUGCCCGGAAUUAUUGGGCGUAAAGCGCGCGCAGGCGGCCUUUUAAGUCUGAUGUGAAAUCUUGCGGCUCAACCGCAAGCGGCCAUUGGAAACUGGGAGGCUUGAGUACAGAAGAGGAGAGUGGAAUUCCACGUGUAGCGGUGAAAUGCGUAGAUAUGUGGAGGAACACCAGUGACGAAGGCGACUCUCUGGUCUGUAACUGACGCUGAGGCGCGAAAGCGUGGGGAGCAAACAGG
rnacentral:rRNA from 1 species